GGGAUAACAUUUGGAAACAGAUGCUAAUACCGCAUAAGAUUACAGUACCGCAUGAUACAGUGAUCAAAGGAGCAAUCCGCUGAAAGAUGGGCUCGCGUCCGAUUAGAUAGUUGGUGAGGUAACGGCUCACCAAGUCGACGAUCGGUAGCCGGACUGAGAGGUUGAACGGCCACAUUGGGACUGAGACACGGCCCAGACUCCUACGGGAGGCAGCAGUGGGGAAUAUUGCACAAUGGGCGAAAGCCUGAUGCAGCAACGCCGCGUGAGGGAAGACGGUUUUCGGAUUGUAAACCUCUGUUUUCGGUGACGAACAAAUGACGGUAACCGAGUAGGAAGCCACGGCUAACUACGUGCCAGCAGCCGCGGUAAUACGUAGGUGGCAAGCGUUAUCCGGAAUUACUGGGUGUAAAGGGAGCGCAGGCGGGAUAGCAAGUCAGCUGUGAAAACUAUGGGCUCAACCCAUAAACUGCAGUUGAAACUGUUAUUCUUGAGUGGAGUAGAGGCAAGCGGAAUUCCGAGUCUAGCGGUGAAAUGCGUAGAUAUUCGGAGGAACACCAGUGGCGAAGGCGGCUUGCUGGGCUCUAACUGACGCUGAGGCUCGAAAGUGUGGGGAGCAAACAGGAUUAGAUACCCUGGUAGUCCACACUGUAA
rnacentral:rRNA from 1 species